rnacentral:rRNA from 1 species
GACGAACGUUGGCGGCGUGCUUAACACAUGCAAGUCGAACGGAAAGGCCCUGCUUUUGUGGGGUGCUCGAGUGGCGAACGGGUGAGUAACACGUGAGUAACCUGCCCUUGACUUUGGGAUAACUUCAGGAAACUGGGGCUAAUACCGGAUAGGAGCUCCUGCUGCAUGGUGGGGGUUGGAAAGUUUCGGCGGUUGGGGAUGGACUCGCGGCUUAUCAGCUUGUUGGUGGGGUAGUGGCUUACCAAGGCUUUGACGGGUAGCCGGCCUGAGAGGGUGACCGGAGAGAGAGGGAGUGACAUACGGACGGGACGGCGACCGGAGGCAGCAGGGGGGCAUGUGGCAGAAGGGGCGGAAGCGUGAAACAGGAACUCCGCGGGAGGGAGGCGGGACGAAGGGUAAUAAAAAGCGGACGCCGGGGACGCAGCGUGAAAGACGGUAAUGGAAAAAGAAGAAGCGGAGAACUACGUA